rnacentral:lncRNA from 1 species
UAACUGAUUGACAGCAAAGUCUGUAACCACCUGGUAGUGGGCUGUUCAGAGCCACAUGGAGUUUGUUACGGAGAGUAGUGGCGUCAGGGAUCGUUUAGGGCCACGUGGAGUUUGUUACGGAGAGUGGAGUGGUGUCCGUUGUCGUGACUUGCCAGAGAGUGGUAGAGCCCGGAGAGUGGAGUGGUGUCCAUUGUUGUGACUUGCCAGAGAGUGGUGAAGCCAUGCAGAUUCCGUUGCAGAGAAUGAAGUAGGGUAGUGGCCAUUGUCACGACUUGCCAGAGAGUUCGGAUCUGUCGGUUGGAGCUCGACUAGGAUAUCUGAUGGAGCGGAAUGGCUCUCUAUCCCAUCGAUCUAGAAGAAGCUCGAUUAUUUUCGAGACUGCUGACGAGUCUACUGUUGUCGGAUGCCUCAGGUGCUGAUGCUAUAGGCGGGAGUCAUCUGCUGUAGAAGCUCAGAUGGAGACGUUCUAUUAGUGAAGUCCGGUAGAAGUCUGAUUGCUAGAGAAGUCCAUCUGCGAU